rnacentral:rRNA from 1 species
GACGUAGGGAGCGAGCGUUGUCCGGAAUCAUUGGGCGUAAAGCGCGUGUAGGCGGCCAGAUAAGUCCGCUGUGAAAUCUCGAGGCUCAACUUCGAGCUGUCGGUGGAAACUGUCUGGCUAGAGUCCGGAAGAGGAGAAUGGAAUUCCUGGUGUAGCGGUGAAAUGCGCAGAUAUCAGGAAGAACACCCGUGGCGAAGGCGGUUCUCUGGGACGGUACUGACGCUGAGACGCGAAAGCGUGGGGAGCGAACAGG